UGCCAGCAGCCGCGGUAAAACGUAGGGGGCCAGCGUUGCUCGGAAUUACUGGGCGUAAAGGGUUCGUAGGCGGUGCGGCAAGUCGGAAGUGAAAUCUCAGGGCUUAACUCUGAGGCUGCUCCCGAAACUGCCGUGCUCGAGUGCGGGAGAGGCGAGUGGAAUUGCAGGUGUAGCGGUGAAAUGCGUAGAUAUCUGCAGGAACACCAGUGGCGAAGGCGGCUCGCUGGACCGCAACUGACGCUGAGGAACGAAAGCUGGGGGAGCAAACAGGAUUAGAUACCCUGGUAGUCCUAGCCCUAAACGAUCAGGACUUGGGGUGCAUCCCGUUCGGGGUGCGUCCCGGAGCUAACGCGUUAAGUCCUGCGCCUGGGGAGUACGGCCGCAAGGCUGAAACUCAAAGGAAUUGACGGGGGCCCGCACAAGCGGUGGAACAUGUGGUUCAAUUCGACGCAACGCGAAGAACCUUACCUGGGCUCGAAGUGUCGGUGACCCGCGGUGGAAACGCCGCCUUCUCGCAAGAGACACCGAUAGAGGUGCUGCAUGGCUGUCGUCAGCUCGUGCCGUGAGGUGUUGGGGUUAAGUCCCGCAACGAGCGCAACC
rnacentral:rRNA from 1 species